rnacentral:rRNA from 1 species
GACGAACGCUGGCGGCGUGCUUAACACAUGCAAGUCGAACGAAGAGCGAUGGAAGCUUGCUUCUAUCAAUCUUAGUGGCGAACGGGUGAGUAACGCGUAAUCAACCUGCCCUUCAGAGGGGGACAACAGUUGGAAACGACUGCUAAUACCGCAUACGAUCUAAUCUCGGCAUCGAGGAUAGAUGAAAGGUGGCCUCUACAUGUAAGCUAUCACUGAAGGAGGGGAUUGCGUCUGAUUAGCUAGUUGGAGGGGUAACGGCCCACCAAGGCGAUGAUCAGUAGCCGGUCUGAGAGGAUGAACGGCCACAGUGGGACUGAGACACGGCCCAGACGCCUACGGGAGGCAGCAGUGGGGAAUCUUCCGCAAUGGACGAAAGUCUGACGGAGCAACGCCGCGUGAGUGAUGACGGCCUUCGGGUUGUAAAGCUCUGUUAAUCGGGACGAAAGGCCUUCUUGCGAAUAGUGAGAAGGAUUGACGGUACCGGAAUAGAAAGCCACGGCUAACUACGUG